rnacentral:rRNA from 1 species
UACGAAGGGGGCUAGCGUUGCUCGGAAUCACUGGGCGUAAAGCGCACGUAGGCGGCUUCUUAAGUCAGGGGUGAAAUCCUGGAGCUCAACUCCAGAACUGCCUUUGAUACUGAGAAGCUUGAGUCCAGGAGAGGUGAGUGGAACUGCGAGUGUAGAGGUGAAAUUCGUAGAUAUUCGCAAGAACACCAGUGGCGAAGGCGGCUCACUGGCCCGGUACUGACGCUGAGGUGCGAAAGCGUGGGGAGCAAACAGG